UGGCUCAGUUGGUAGAGCAUGGUGCUUGCAAUGCCAGGGUGAGGGUUCAAUUCCCAC
rnacentral:tRNA from 1 species